CAACUCCAAUGCAGAUCUUCUUCAGGUUAACUAAUAAAUUUGUUUUGUUGCCCUUUCCAGAACUUGCAUCUGUGCAGCACUUUACAACGUAAAGCAGUGGUGAAGAUGGAUACCACGUAGAAUUAAGGAAAAAGAUGUUGGUAAAGGCAGUGGAUCGAAGAGGAAGCAGAAGAUUCUUCAAUGAUGUUUCAGACAAGUUUCUUUGUCCAGGGCUUCUGUGCUUUUCGGAAUCCAUGCUCCACCUCAUGAGUCUCCUUGAAGCCCCCGAAGAACUUCUUGUGGUACAUCUCCUUCUGCCACUUCCGAAUCUUGCUCGUGUCCUCGGUCACCAGGGAUUUGUGGAUCCCCACGUGGAGUUCGCUCAGGCGGUCUGCGGAGAUGCUGCCUGACCUGCUAAGUAUUAUUGGUUUUUGGUUCAGAUUUCCAGACUCCGAACAUUUUUGGUUUUGCAUUGCACCCCUCCAGCCUUGGCUUUGUGUGCAUUGGCUCAAACACUCCAAGAUCCCACAAGACCCUCUGAUAACAAUCAGAUUUUUGGAACCCAGUGGCCUUGCGGGACAGGGACUCAGUGGAUAAUGUGGGGUGGUUUCCCGAGCAAACUGUCCAAAUCAUCUGACAGGAUGCCUCAUUGCCAGAACUCACUAACAAGCACCAAGACCUUGCUUGGCUGGCGGUGAGAGGGACCCUCGCAGUCAGAUCCUUCCUGUACAGACAAUAUAUCACCUCAACACACGCUGCCCUCGGGACAGCUGCGAUGGGGAGGAGACAGGGUCACCUACUUCUUUGCAGACUUGCUAAGAGGGUGUGGAGCAGGAUCCAAGGGUCCGUGUCCCAGUUCAUCCCCAGCAGCUGUGUCACAGAGGACUCUCUGAUCUAUGGGCUGUUCCCGGGGACACACACCGACACAGACAUCAGGUGCUGCUGGAAGGUCAUCAACUCAGUGAAAGACGUUCUGUCCAAAGUCUGCCCAAAACACGUUGGUCUUCCAGCACUGUGAGAUGUCCGUGUGGGAAUGCUGCCGACCGGCACAAUCCAGGGUGCAGGAGUCCGUGCUGAGGGACGCACUGAAGCUCGGCCAACGCAAAGGCUCUGUGGGGAAGGACCACAGUCUGGGCUCCUUCCGCUACUGCACAUGGAGAGGCUGGGUCGGGUGGGGAAGCCCCUCGAACAUUGAAAUGGGGGAAUCACCCCAGGGGGCCACAUGAGUGGCAAUGGUACUGUGAUUUAA